AGGUCUUUGGCCUUCUGGAAGCUCAUGAGCUGUACUCAUUGUGUUCAAGUUAUUCAGGUGCUCUGCAACAUCCACCACGAAUGCAAGCACAGCAGCUCGGCCUCACCAUCGUACCUCGGUGUGGGACGGCAGCCCAUAGCUGUGGUCUUUCUCUCUGAGAAGGAAGUCAACCUGGCGGUGAUUCAGGCCUCUGGAUCGGAUGACAUCAACAGUCUGGACGACCACCUUCAUGACGUUUUCCAUCGUUAAUGACUUGCAACACAAAGCCUCCUGAUGCAAAGUGCAGGGAGAAGUCCCAAAAUCACAUCCUCCAUUUGCAGUCUGCACUUCUUUUCUGAACUGUGUCACAACUCCUGCUUUUCCCCCGAUCAUUGAGGGCGCACCAUCUGUCGCCAUGGUGACAGCGGGGCCAGUCCACUCCGACCCGGUCCAGGGCGCCGACGAGAGCGGUGAAAAUAUCAGCUGCUGUUCCUAGAAAUGUAGAGGAAUAUAUCAUGUAUUUGCUACACCUCAAAUACAAUGUUGAGUCAUUAAAUACAUAAAUAUUG